rnacentral:rRNA from 1 species
AUUGAACGCUGGCGGCAUGCCUUACACAUGCAAGUCGAACGGCAGCGCGGGGCAACCUGGCGGCGAGUGGCGAACGGGUGAGUAAUAUAUCGGAACAUACCCUAGAGUGGGGAUAACGUAGCGAAAGUUACGCUAAUACCGCAUACGCACUAAGGUGGAAAGUGGGGGAUCUUCGGACCUCAUGCUCAUGGAGUGGCCGAUAUCUGGUUAGCUAGUUGGUGAGGUAAAGGCUCACCAAGGCGACGAUCAGUAGCUGGUUUGAGAGAACGACCAGCCACACUGGAACUGAGACACGGUCCAGACUCCUACGGGAGGCAGCAGUGGGGAAUAUUGGACAAUGGGCGCAAGCCUGAUCCAGCCAUGCCGCGUGGGUGAUGAAGGCCUUAGGGUUGUAAAGCUCUUUUACCCGAGAUGAUAAUGACAGUAUCGGGAGAAUAAGACUCCGGCUAACUCCGUGCCAGCAGCCGCGGUAAU